rnacentral:rRNA from 1 species
UACGGGGGGGGCAAGCGUUGUUCGGAAUUACUGGGCGUAAAGGGCUCGUAGGCGGCCAACUAAGUCAGACGUGAAAUCCCUCGGCUUAACCGGGGAACUGCGUCUGAUACUGGAUGGCUUGAAUCCGGGAGAGGGAUGCGGAAUUCCAGGUGUAGCGGUGAAAUGCGCAGAUAUCAGGAGGAACACCGAUGGCGAAGGCAGGUCUCUGGGCCACUACUGACGCUGAGAAGCGAAAGCGUGGGGAGCGAACAGG